rnacentral:rRNA from 1 species
GGGUCAGUAGGUUGGUCGUGCCACCGGUACGUACUGGUCUCACUGAUUCCUCCUUCCUGAAGAACCGUAAUGCCAUUAAUUUGGUGUUGCGGGGAAACAGGACUGUUACUUUGAAAAAAUUAGAGUGUUUAAAGCAAGCUAACGCUUGAAUACAUUAGCAUGUAAUAAUGAAAUAGGACGAUCGAUCCUAUUUUGUUGGUUUCUAUGAUUGACGUA